GAUGAACGCUGGCGGCGUGCCUAAUACAUGCAAGUCGAGCGAACAGACGAGGAGCUUGCUCCUCUGACGUUAGCGGCGGACGGGUGAGUAACACGUGGAUAACCUACCUAUAAGACUGGGAUAACUUCGGGAAACCGGAGCUAAUACCGGAUAAUAUAUUGAACCGCAUGGUUCAAUAGUGAAAGACGGUUUUGCUGUCACUUAUAGAUGGAUCCGCGCCGCAUUAGCUAGUUGGUAAGGUAACGGCUUACCAAGGCAACGAUGCGUAGCCGACCUGAGAGAGUGAUCGGCCACAUUGGAACGGAGCCACGGACCAGGCUACUACGGGAGGCAGCAGUAGGGAAUCUUCCGCAAUGGGCGAAAGCUUGACGGAGCAACGCCGCGUGAGUGAUGAAGGUCUUCGGAUCGUAAAACUCUGUUAUUAGGGAAGAACAAAUGUGUAAGGAACUAUGCACGUCUUGACGGUACCUAAUCAGAAAGCCACGGCUAACUACGUG
rnacentral:rRNA from 1 species